AUAUGUGAUUAACAGAAAUAUCCUAUUUCUCAUUAGGUGUAGAGGCAGCACAGGUUUAAGAUCCACCUGGUGGAUCUCUGAAUUCUCUGAGGCUAUCCCAUCAAUAAUGAGCACCAGCUGUUCCACCCUGCUGGUCAAGAUCCCAGAGGGUAGAGCAUGUAUUAGGCAUCUGAAAGAGCAUUUAACAGCAUUUACCAAGCUGCUCAGUUUUUCAGAGAUAACACAAUUAUUCUUACAAACUUCUUCAUGAAAGUCUUUCACAAUUAGACUCCGUCAAGAGACAGUCAAAGAUUUCUCAAUUGCAUAUACCCAGCUAUCACAAAACUGCACUAACUAGCCAAGGACUGAAACAGGAGACAACUAAGUCCUCACAGCUGCUCAGGUGUUGCUUUCAAGCCAGAACUCUGCCCUCCAUGCAUCUGUUAGAACCUUCUCAUUGUGAAGCUUGGACGCUGUGGGGUCUCAACACAUCCAGUUCAGAGGGAGAGGCAACCCACAACUGCAGCUCAGAUCUUGGGUGAACCAAGUCACUUCCAAGGGGUAAAGCUGUCUGUACUGACUAGUCAGAACAGAUGCUCCAGCUGUGGACACAUCUUGUUCAGUUCCAGAUCCAAGUUCCACUGGACUAACUUAUCCUGCAAUGUUGGACUGACUAAUAAAUGUACAGAGGUAAAAAAUAGACUAUUUUUUAAAGGGAAUAUUUCAAGGGUUUUGUUUGCAGCACAGGCCCCAAGAAGCCAUGGUUGCAUGACCAGGUUGUUGAUAUGCCAUAGGAAAAGGGUGAGUGGUGUGGGAAGACUGAGAGCUAGUGCUGGUGCUGAAAGAUGAAGAUGAAAUCACCACCCCCACUGUCACCACUUGGCUGGAGCCUUACACAUUCUCCCCAAGAUGUGGAUGUAGUGAGUGACCUUUCAGAACUUCCACGUUCAGAUAAUCUUUGCCUUGAUUUGUAUUAAUUUUGCAUGCUCAUUCAUUCUUUGGUUUUCUGGAUUUUUUUUGGUUCUUAGGUUUGAUUCUCACUCCUGAACUUACAUUCUCCAUUUAUGUUGAUUUAAGGAGUUUUGCAUGCUCAUGAUACUGUUUUUAGAAGCAUCAAGUUUUGUUUUUAUUAGAAAAAUGUUUGGUCGCUCGUAAUUAAACUUUCAACUUAUCAGACAUAAAAUUUUGCUUCAAACCUACUCCUUUCUUUAGUGCAAUGGCAUUUAUAUGGAUCCACCUUUCCUCUCCAAUUUUUUGUCACCAAGUGUUUUCCUGUGAGAGCUACUUGUUACAAUGGUUGACUCUGAAACCCGUUUUUGAAGCUCCUAAAGAAACUGGCUCCAUUACUGAUUUGUAUCAAAAAUAAGCCCAGAAAGAAAUAAAAUCAAAUGUGGAAAGAAAAUUGCA
ensembl:lncRNA